GACAGAGGUGCCGAGCGUUAAUCGGAAUUACUGGGCGUAAAGCGUGCGUAGUCGGUUAUUUAAGUCGGGUGUGAAAGCCCCGGGCUCAACCUGGGAAUUGCAUUCGAUACUGGAUAGCUAGAGUUCGGCAGAGGGAAGCGGAAUUUCCGGUGUAGCGGUGAAAUGCGUAGAUAUCGGAAGGAACAUCAGUGGCGAAAGCGGCUUCCUGGACCAGAACUGACGAUCAGGCACGAAAGCGUGGGGAGCAAACAGG
rnacentral:rRNA from 1 species